rnacentral:rRNA from 1 species
GACGAACGCUGGCGGCGUGCUUAACACAUGCAAGUCGAACGGUGAAGGACGGAGCUUGCUCCGACCGGAUCAGUGGCGAACGGGUGAGUAACACGUGAGUAACCUGCCCCAGACUCUGGAAUAACCCCGGGAAACCGGAGCUAAUACCGGAUACGAGACGGAGAGGCAUCUCUACCGUCUGGAAAGUUUUUCGGUCUGGGAUGGACUCGCGGCCUAUCAGCCAGUUGGUGAGGUAAUGGCUCACCAAGGCGACGACGGGUAGCCGGCCUGAGAGGGCGACCGGCCACACUGGGACUGAGACACGGCCCAGACUCCUACGGGAGGCAGCAGUGGGGAAUAUUGCACAAUGGGCGAAAGCCUGAUGCAGCGACGCCGCGUGAGGGAUGACGGCCUUCGGGUUGUAAACCUCUUUCAGCUGGGAAGAAGCGAAAGUGACGGUACCUGCAGAAGAAGCACCGGCUAACUACGUGCCAGCAGCCGCCGUAAAAC